rnacentral:rRNA from 1 species
GACGAACGCUGGCGGCGUGCUUAACACAUGCAAGUCGAACGGAAAGGCCCCUUUGGGGGUACUCGAGUGGCGAACGGGUGAGUAACACGUGAGUAACCUGCCCUUGACUUCGGGAUAACUUCAGGAAACUGGGGCUAAUACCGGAUAGGAAUCCUUGCUGCAUGGUGGGGGUUGGAAAGCUUCGGCGGUUUUGGAUGGACUCGCGGCUUAUCAGCUUGUUGGUGGGGUAGUGGCUUACCAAGGCUUUGACGGGUAGCCGGCCUGAGAGGGCGACCGGCCACAGUGGGACUGAGAUACGGCCCAGACUCCUACGGGAGGCAGCAGUGGGGAAGAUUGCACAAUGGGCGGAAGCCUGAUGCAGCAACGCCGCGUGCGGGAGGACGGCCUUCGGGUUGUAAACCGCUUUCAGCAGGGGCGAAGCUUGUGGUGACGGUACCUGCAGAAGAAGCACCGGCUAACUACGUG